UUUGAAGAUGAAGAAACAUUGCUCGAUUUUGGUCCUUGAGCUUUUCCCUGGAAGGCAGUGCACUCACCUGUGUGAUGCCCAUCUUACAGAAUCUCCACAAUUCUGAACUGACAAAAAGACCAGC